rnacentral:ncRNA from 2 species
CUUCGAAGUGGUGAUGGAUCUCGCCCGAGCUCGUCGCUCGAACCGCCAAUUGGCUGAUAGUUCCUGCCGUCAU